rnacentral:rRNA from 1 species
CCGGCGAUGUCCGAAUGGGGAAACCCAGUGCAAUUCGUUGCACUAUCGUUAACUGAAUACAUAGGUUAACGAGGCGAACCGGGGGAACUGGAAACAUCUAAGUACCCCGAGGAAAAGAAAUCAACCGAGAUUCCCCCAGUAGCGGCGAGCGAACGGGGAGCAGCCCAGAGUCUGAAUCAGCUUGUGUGUUAGUGGAACGGUCUGGAAAGUCCGACGGUACAGGGUGAUAGUCCCGUACACCAAAAUGCACAGGCUGUGAACUCGAAGAGUAGGGCGGGACACGUGGUAUCCUGUCUGAAUAUGGGGGGACCAUCCUCCAAGGCUAAAUACUCCUGACUGACCGAUAGUGAACCAGUACCGUGAGGGAAAGGCGAAAA